rnacentral:rRNA from 1 species
UACGUAGGGGGCAAGCGUUGUCCGGAUUUAUUGGGCGUAAAGCGCGUGUAGGCGGCUUGGCAAGUCCGCUGUGAAAACUCGAGGCUCAACCUCGAGAUGUCGGUGGAAACUGCUUGGCUAGAGUCCGGAAGAGGAGUGUGGAAUUCCUGGUGUAGCGGUGAAAUGCGCAGAUAUCAGGAGAACACCUAUGGCGAAGGCAGCACUCUGGGACGGUACUGACGCUGAGACGCGAAAGCGUGGGGAGCGAACAGG